GGCUCAGAACGAACGCUGGCGGCGCGCCUAAUACAUGCAAGUCGAACGAGAAUGUGUAGCAAUACACAUGUACAGUGGCGAACGGGUGAGGACUACAUGGGUAACCUACCCUCGAGUGGGGAAUAACUAGCCGAAAGGUUAGCUAAUACCGCGUACGCUUCCCGGACUGCGGUUCGGGAAGGAAUGCGAUACCGUGGGUAUCGCGCUCUUGGAUGGGCUCAUGCCCUAUCAGCUUGUUGGUGAGGUAACGGCUCACCAAGGCUUCGACGGGUAGCUGAUCUGAGAGGAUGAUCAGCCACACUGGCACUGCGACACGGGCCAGACUCCUACGGGAGGCAGCAGUAAGGAAUAUUGCGCAAUGGGCGAAAGCCUGACGCAGCGACGCCGCGUGGGGGAUGAAGGUCUUCGGAUUGUAAACCCCUUUCGGGAGGGAAGAUGGGAUGGGGUAACCCAUUCGGACGGUACCUCCAGAAGCAGCCACGGCUAACUUCGUGCCAGCAGCCGCGGUAAUACGAAGGUGGCAAGCGUUGUUCGGAUUUACUGGGCGUACAGGGAGCGUAGGCGGUUGGGUAAGCCCUCCGUGAAAUCUCCAGGCUUAACCUGGAAAGUGCAGAGGGGACUGCUCAGCUAGAGGAUGGGAGAGGAGCGCGGAAUUCCCGGUGUAGCGGUGAAAUGCGUAGAGAUCGGGAGGAAGGCCGGUGGCGAAGGCGGCGCUCUGGAACAUUUCUGACGCUGAGGCUCGAAAGCGUGGGGAGCAAACAGGAUUAGAUACCCUGGUAGUCCACGCCUUAAACGAUGGAUACUAAGUGUCGGCGGGUUACCGCCGGUGCCGCAGCUAACGCAGUAAGUAUCCCGCCUGG
rnacentral:rRNA from 1 species